rnacentral:rRNA from 1 species
GGACUACACGGGUAUCUAAUCCUGUUUGCUCCCCACGCUUUCGCACCUCAGCGUCAGUAUCGGCCCAGGUCUCCGCCUUCGCCACUGGUGUUCCUCCCGAUAUCUACGAAUUUCACCUCUACACCGGGAAUUCCGAGACCCUCUUCCGUACUCAAGCCCGGCAGUUUCGGAUGCACUUCCUCGGUUGAGCCGAGGGAUUUCACAUCCGACUUACCGAACCGCCUACGUGCGCUUUACGCCCAAUGAUUCCGAGCAACGUUUGCACCCUCCGUAUUACCGCGGCUGCUGGCAC